AUUCACCAUCAACAGUUUUUAUGUACACUGCUCGGAUAAUAGCUACAAAUAUCCAAUUCAAUCAGCUACUGUAUCAGAAACAACGCUUUAUGUCGUCAGUUUAAUUGUUCCACCGGUCUUGAUUGUGUUCUUUGAGGUCAUAUCAUCAGAGUAUAAUCGACGAAAAGAUGGGUUUCCCAAGGAAAAGACAGUAAUCACGAUUGGCAU